rnacentral:lncRNA from 1 species
UUUUUUGAAUUGUAAGGAGAUUUCAUUAUGCGGGUCGAAAAGGUACAAUGCGGAAUAUCGCAAUAAGUCGACUGUGGUAUAUUUUCUGCUGUUACAUUGAAAAAUAGAUAAGUAUAUUUUUAUAUAUUUUUGUUAUAACUCCAUUUGCCUAUUAUGGUUAGAUGGACUUCAACAUCAAACGAGCAUAAAUAAUCUCUUAAAUUGAUUAAGUGUCUGUUUCGCAACGGAUCUUUGUAUGAAUUAGGUCAAAUUAGAUUGUUUGGAUGUGUGUUACUAGGUGGCUUUUAAAUCACAUGCUUUUGUGCUGAAGUUCAAAUUAGAGCGAAAAUGGAAGGGAGUUGUGCAGCAGCUUGCUGAGAAACUGCUUUUCUAUCUGUGUUUUGAAUGGGUUGUUUAGUAUUGAGCCCCAUCUAAUAGUGGUAGACAAAACGAAGUUGAGAUAAAAGUGUACAAGAAUAUAAUUUCCGGUUUUUCAGUAACACUAUAAAAAAAUAUAUCAUAAUCCACUUAUUAUAAUGCGCAGAAUGUGAUAUAUUGUACGAAUAUAUAUAUAUAUUAUACUAUACUUUUUCACCGUA